rnacentral:misc_RNA from 1 species
GAUGAAGAACGUAGCGAAAUGCGAUAACUAAUGUGAAUUGCAGAAUUCAGUGAAUCAUCGAGUCUUUGAACGCACAUUGCGCCCCCUGGUAUUCCGGGGGGCAUGCCUGUCCGGGCGUCAUUGCUGCCCUCAAGCACGGCUUGUGUGUUGGGCUCCGUCCCCCCGGGGACGGGCCCGAAAGGCAGCGGCGGCACCGAGUCCGGUCCUCGAGCGUAUGGGGCUUUGUCACCCGCUCUGUAGGCCCGGCCGGCGCCAGCCGACAACCCAUCAUCCUUUUCAGGUUGACCUCGGAUCAGGUAGGGAUACCCGCUGAACUUAAGCAUAUCAAUAAGCGGAGGA